rnacentral:rRNA from 1 species
UACAGAGGUCUCAAGCGUUGUUCGGAUUCAUUGGGCGUAAGAGGUGCGUAGGCGGCGCGGUAAGUCGGGUGUGAAAUCUCGGAGCUUAACUCCGAAACUGCAUUCGAUACUGCCGUGCUUGAGGACUGGAGAGGAGACUGGAAUUUACGGUGUAGCGGUGAAAUGCGUAGAUAUCGUAAGGAAGACCAGUGGCGAAGGCGGGUCUCUGGACAGUUCCUGACGCUGAGGCACGAAGGUCAGGGGAGCAAACGGG